AAUAGCUCUGGGUAACCAUGCGUGUACGUGAGUGUGUGUGACUCCCACACUCUGAAAUGAGCUCUCACCCACUGGUGAGUGGAAAAUUAGCUUUGGCAGAUAAAGUGGGUAGAGGCCCUUUGAAAUGUCAAGAACGCUGUUCCAAAUGUGAGGCCUGACUGCCGAGGGAACUCGCAGAGCCUCCUGGGAGGCAGCGGUUUGCCGGUGCGUCACUUUCGCAGCUUGUGCUCAGACAGGCAACUGGAUGGAGGGCGGGCCGAAGAGAUAAGGGACGGUCUGCACACUCCAGACCACAAGAAUUUAUUUCCAGUUUCUCAGCCUGGAUUCUGGGGUCUCCGGAGCUGGGAAACAGCAGUAUAAAAGGAAGCGGGUGCUCAGCACCUCUUGCUCUCUUGAGCAGCUCAUUGAAGAGAAACAAAGGCACCUUGAAGGGGACCUCUCUUGGGGGUGAUGAAAAUCUUUUUUCCCUUCUGCUUAUUUGUGUCACAUUCUUCCAUCGGGCUGGGCGACUGACAGGUGCACCCUUCCCCAGGCCCCUUUCAGAGUCCCCUCCCUGCCGUUUGUGUCUCACCCAGAUAUCCAGCAGACGCCGCCUUUACAGGAGCUGAAUAUGAUUAGUAGAAACCCUUCCUGACAGCUCCAAAGAGAAGCCCUCAAAUGCAUAUUCUAUUGAGUGCAUCUCAUUGCUGCUGACAGUCGCUUUAUCAAUUAAAUUCCACCUUCCCAGUCUUCAGAGACGCCACCAACCUCCCUACCUAAUAAAUCACAGACCCCAGUUAUUGUUAAAUGUCCCAUCAGUCUCUAAUAAACCCCUUGCCAACAGGGGCAGGUUAUUUAUUAUGCUGCCUGGACAAGAAUGAAUUGGGCCCCGUUCUCAGAAGAGCAAACGUGAUGCCUUUCUCCCUAAAGACUGAGGCUGUGGUAUUAAAUGGGGCAAUUCAUCAAUGUGGGCCUUGAGCAGAGGGGAGUCUGGUCGAGAGAGAGAGAGAGAGAGAGAGAGAGAGAGAGAGAGAGAGAGAGAGAGAGACAGAGAGAGAGAGAGAAAGAGGGAAAGAGGAUGGCCUGGGGUCCUUUACUGAAAGCCAGUGAGGCAGGUCCCCAUGGUGGGAGGUGGCUGUGAAGAGAGUGGGCACCUGGGCCUUUGCUGCUUCUCCCCUGCUCCUCAUACCUGUCUGAAAAUACUAAGGGUAUGGUCACCCCACAGGCCAAGGGGCACAUGUGGAAAGAGUUAUUCUCCACGUCAAAUGUUUGCUACGUAGGAUCCAACAAGGUCAUGAAACAAAAAUUCUGUCCAGAAGGCCAGAUAUUGUUACUUAACAAAUUUGACAUAACUUAAGUUUAUGGAUGGUACUGGUCCACUGAGUCGAUGAGCUGAAGAAUACAGGAGGAAAGGUUCCCUUUGCCUGGAAGAGAGAACCAGAAAACACGUGCUCAGUCACUGUUUGUGGGCUAAGCAGCACAGAGGUAAGCGCUGACACUCAGAAAGUGGUGUUUAACACCCAAAAGACCCUGUUAGGUGUGAGAAACAGUGUGUAAAGUGGGCCUUGUAGUUACUACCCCAAGUUAGAUCCCAAACUGAGAGGAUGCUCAAUGGUCUGCAAGUGACAGUCCAAACUCCUCAGCUUUGUCAUCUGUGAAGCCCUAGCUUAUAUUUCCAAUUGUAUUUCUCUCUAUUGUGACCUAACACUAUCCCAUUUUGGGCAAGCAUAACCCAUUAAUUUGAUAUUCCUUGUGGUGGCAGGCAAGGCCCUCCACUCUACAGGACCAAUACAUCUCUGCAACCUUGUUUCCUGGUAAUUGCUGCCAUACUUGCCUCCGUUCACGCUGAAGCUCAUACCUUCCCUAACUGCUGUGGUUUCUCACGCUUCCACGCCUUUGCACAAACUGCUCCUUCUGCCCAGAAUAUCUUUCUACGCUGUCUGCCUGGCGAGCUUUCUUUCCACCCCCACUGCCUGAUUGAACUUAUCUAUCCUCCAGGAUCAGCUCAGAAAAUCAGCCUCCAGUGCUUCAAGGGACUAGGACUUUGUCUCCUGGUGCUGCUGUCACGGCAGAAGGGCUCGACUCCAGGGAGUAGGAGAAGAAUGCUCUGGGCAUGAAGGAACAUUCCACGUGCUGUGGAACAACUAAUCCUCUGUGCCACGAGUAUUGAGCCUGCGGUCUACAGUUGCUCCUGCUGAUCCCCUGUGCUGCCAGUACUGUGCGCCCUAAGCCUGUGCUCUGUAACAAGAGAAGCCACAGCGAUGAGAAACCUAUGCACUGCAACUAGAGAAACCCCCUCGCGCAAAGCACCAGUGGAACAAAUAAUAAAUAAAUAAA